rnacentral:rRNA from 1 species
AGAGUUUGAUCAUGGCUCAGGACGAACGCUGGCGGCGUGCCUAAUACAUGCAAGUCGAGCGAGCUUGCCUAGAUGAUUUUAGUGCUUGCACUAAAUGAAACUAGAUACAAGCGAGCGGCGGACGGGUGAGUAACACGUGGGUAACCUGCCCAAGAGACUGGGAUAACACCUGGAAACAGAUGCUAAUACCGGAUAACAACACUAGACGCAUGUCUAGAGUUUGAAAGAUGGUUCUGCUAUCACUCUUGGAUGGACCUGCGGUGCAUUAGCUAGUUGGUAAGGUAACGGCUUACCAAGGCAAUGAUGCAUAGCCGAGUUGAGAGACUGAUCGGCCACAUUGGGACUGAGACACGGCCCAAACUCCUACGGGAGGCAGCAGUAGGGAAUCUUCCACAAUGGACGAAAGUCUGAUGGAGCAACGCCGCGUGAGUGAAUGAAGGGUUUCGGCUCGUAAAGCUCUGUUGGUAGUGAAGAAAGAUAGAGGUAGUAACUGGCCUUUAUUUGACGGUAAUUACUUAGAAAGUCACGGCUAACUACGUGCCAGCAGCCGCGGUAAUACGUAGGUGGCAAGCGUUGUCCGGAUUUAUUGGGCGUAAAGCGAGUGCAGGCGGUUCAAUAAGUCUGAUGUGAAAGCCUUCGGCUCAACCGGAGAAUUGCAUCAGAAACUGUUGAACUUGAGUGCAGAAGAGGAGAGUGGAACUCCAUGUGUAGCGGUGGAAUGCGUAGAUAUAUGGAAGAACACCAGUGGCGAAGGCGGCUCUCUGGUCUGCAACUGACGCUGAGGCUCGAAAGCAUGGGUAGCGAACAGGAUUAGAUACCCUGGUAGUCCAUGCCGUAAACGAUGAGUGCUAAGUGUUGGGAGGUUUCCGCCUCUCAGUGCUGCAGCU